GAGUUUGAUCGUGGCUCAGAUUGAACGCUGGCGGCAGGCCUAACACAUGCAAGUCGAGCGCGAAAGUUCUUCGGAAUGAGUAGAGCGGCGGACGGGUGAGUAACGCGUAGGAAUCUGUCCGGUAGUGGGGGAUAACGUUCCGAAAGGAACGCUAAUACCGCAUACGCCCCAAGGGGGAAAGCGGGGGAGGUUUUCGGACCGCCUCGUGCUAUCGGAGGAGCCUGCGUCGGAUUAGCUAGUUGGUAGGGUAAAGGCCUACCAAGGCGACGAUCCGUAGCUGGUCUGAGAGGAUGAUCAGCCACACCGGAACUGAGACACGGUCCGGACUCCUACGGGAGGCAGCAGUGGGGAAUAUUGCGCAAUGGGCGAAAGCCUGACGCAGCCAUGCCGCGUGUGUGAAGAAGGCCUUCGGUUGU
rnacentral:rRNA from 1 species